GAUGAACGCUGGCGGCGUGCCUAAUACAUGCAAGUCGAGCGAACAGACGAGGAGCUUGCUCCUCUGACGUUAGCGGCGGACGGGUGAGUAACACGUGGAUAACCUACCUAUAAGACUGGGAUAACUUCGGGAAACCGGAGCUAAUACCGGAUAAUAUAUUGAACCGCAUGGUUCAAUAGUGAAAGACGGUUUUGCUGUCACUUAUAGAUGGAUCCGCGCCGCAUUAGCUAGUUGGUAAGGUAACGGCUUACCAAGGCAACGAUGCGUAGCCGACCUGGGAGGGUGAUCGGCCACACUGGAACUGGGACACGGUCCAGACUCCUACGGGAGGCAGCAGUAGGGAAUCUUCCGCAAUGGGCGAAAGCCUGACGGAGCAACGCCGCGUGAGUGACGAAGGUCUUCGGAUCGUAAAACUCUGUUAUUAGGGAAGAACAAAUGUGUAAGUAACUAUGCACGUCUUGACGGUACCUAAUCAGAAAGCCACGGCUAACUACGUG
rnacentral:rRNA from 1 species